GAGGCGGAAAUUGCAGUGGGCCGAGAUUGCGCCUCUGCACUCCAGUCUGGGAGACAGAGUGAGACCCUGUCUCAAAAAAAAAAGGAAAAAGAUGUGGCUUAAAGGUGCCUUACAUAUCAGCGGUAUGGCAUAGUUUCAUUGGCAGCCUUUGUUUUCUUUCUUGGGUAACAUAAAACAAUGUAAGUCUACUUAGGCCAUACACUCUACACCACGAUGCGUUCUUUUUUCUGUUUCGCUAAAGCUUUCACCAAGCCUAAGGCUGGAGAGGGGUCCUAACUGAGCCCUGACCAGACCAGGGAGCCCUACUAUGCAAUCUCCUCAGGUUAGGAAGGGCCCGGUACGACCGGCCCAGAAGGCCUGGCCGAUCAACAGGCGCCGGGCCGACGGUGGUGGGCUCGCUUCCUGAGGCUGCCCUUGGUCAUGCGGAAGGGGACUGGCUGGCGAUAACACCCUGGCGAAGCAAGGUGGACAGUGACUCCCGCCCGGUUCGAGCCCGCCUANNNNNNNNNNNNNNNNNNNNNNNNNNNNNNNNNNNNNNNNNNNNNNNNNNNNNNNNNNNGGUCGGAUGCGGUGACUCACGCCUGUGAUCCCAGCACUUUGAGAGGCCGAGGCGGGCAGAUCACAAAGUCAGGAGUUCGAGACCAGCCUGGCCAAAAUGGUGAAACCCCAUCUCUACUAAAAAUACAAAAAUUAGCCAGGCGUGGUGGCACGUGCCUGUAAUCCCAGCUACUCGGGAGCCUGACGCAGAAGAAUCGCUUGAACCCAGGAGACAGUGGUUGCAGUGAGCUGAGAUCGCACCAUUGCACUACAGCCUGGGCGACCGAGCGAGACUGUCUCAAACAAACAACAACAAAAAGAGGUCCUUUGCAUUAGUUCUUCAGAUUGGAUUCUCUAUUUGCAUUUUAAAAAGAGGAGGUAGAAUACGGCAGAGCACAUACAGGACACCGAUAUGGAAGGCAUCAGUCCUCGUGCGGCUCCUGGAUUAACCACGCUUUCUGGUUUCUGUGUUCUAUGGCGCUUUGGCAUCGCAGGAGGCUUUGCUGGUGGGGAAGGGACUGCCCCUCCCAGGGCUGGCUAGUUCUGGAGACAGCACACACCUCCCUAUGCAAACCAGCAGUCAGAAGCCCCUGCCCCCACCACACCCUUUAUCUAACUCACACACCCAGGGAAUAUUCUCCCUGCCCCAUCUCACUCCAGAGCAUGGUACUGGAUGACUAGGGACCACCCCAUAGCCCCGGGCCUGCCAACAUUAGGCAAACGGGCCCACCCGAAGUUUGCUCAAACUCACCUCCACCCUCAUCUAUUCCUUCCCACAGAGACCCCAGUGAAGGCCUGGCCUGGGCCCUCCCCUUGCUCCUUCUGCCUCGGGACUGACCUGGUGCUUCCCCAUGCUGGAAAGUCAUCAACUCUUCAUUCAAAGGCAGUGUCUCCCAGGCUGUCAUCUGACCAGAGCUGAGGAAAACAAAGUC
rnacentral:lncRNA from 1 species